rnacentral:rRNA from 1 species
AGUGAACGCUGGCGGUAGGCCUAACACAUGCAAGUCGAACGGCAGCACAGUAAGAGCUUGCUCUUACGGGUGGCGAGUGGCGGACGGGUGAGGAAUACAUCGGAAUCUACUUUUUCGUGGGGGAUAACGUAGGGAAACUUACGCUAAUACCGCAUACGACCUACGGGUGAAAGCAGGGGAUCUUCGGACCUUGCGCGAUUGAAUGAGCCGAUGUCGGAUUAGCUAGUUGGCGGGGUAAAGGCCCACCAAGGCGACGAUCCGUAGCUGGUCUGAGAGGAGGAUCGGCCACACUGGAACUGAGACACGGUCCAGACUCCUACGGGAGGCAGCAGUGGGGAAUAUUGGGCAAUGGGCGCAAGCCUGAUCCAGCAAUACCGCGUGGGUGAAGAAGGCCUUCGGGUUGUAAAGCCCUUUUGUUGGGAAAGAAAAGCAGCAGGUUAAUACCCCGCUGUUCUGACGGUACCCAAUGAAUAAGCACCGGCUAACUUCGUG